rnacentral:misc_RNA from 1 species
AAGUCGUAACAAGGUUUCCGUAGGUGAACCUGCGGAAGGAUCAUUAACACGUAUCCAACGUUAAACAACCCUGUGAACUUUCAACACCGCCGGAAUGAGAUUAAUUUCCAACUCCGGUGAAGGCAAUUGACCUGGCACCUGGACCACAUCAAAGCUCUGACAGAGUGCCUCUGGAUCGUGCUUGAAGGGUGACGCAGUAACGAUCGCUGGAGGCCCACACGGCCGGCGACUGGGUCAGCGAGCUAACGCUCCCUCAACAACCACAUAACAUGACGACAGUUCCUCUUUAACUUGAGUUGAGCUAUAACAAAAAACUAUACAACUGUUAACAAUGGAUAUCUUGGUUCUC